rnacentral:rRNA from 1 species
CCUACGGGAGGCAGCAGUGGGGAAUAUUGGGCAAUGGGCGCAAGCCUGACCCAGCAACGCCGCGUGAAGGAAGAAGGCUUUCGGGUUGUAAACUUCUUUUAAGAGGGAAGAGCAUAAGACGGUACCUCUUGAAUAAGCCACGGCUAACUACGUGCCAGCAGCCGCGGUAAUACGUAGGUGGCAAGCGUUGUCCGGAUUUACGGGGUGUAAAGGGCGUGUAGCCGGGCUGACAAGUCAGAUGUGAAAUCCCGUGGCUGAACCCCGGAACUGCAUUUGAAACUGGUGGACUUGAGUAUAGGAGAGGCAGGUGGAAUUCCUAGUGUAGCGGUGAAAUGCGUAGAUAUUAGGAGGAACACCAGUGGCGAAGGCGGCCUGCUGGACGAUAACUGACGGUGAGGCGCGAAAGCGUGGGGAGCAAACAGGAUUAGAUACCCGAGUAGUC